rnacentral:rRNA from 1 species
CACGUAGUUGGCCGUGGCUUAUUCAAGAGGUACCGUCUUCUGCUCUUCCCUCUUAAAAGAAGUUUACAACCCGAAAGCCUUCUUCCUUCACGCGGCGUUGCUGGGUCAGGCUUGCGCCCAUUGCCCAAUAUUCCCCACUGCUGCCUCCCGUAGGAGUCUGGGCCGUAUCUCAGUCCCAAUGUGGCCGGUCAACCUCUCAGUCCGGCUACUGAUCGUCGCCUAGGUGGGCCGUUACCCCGCCUACUAGCUAAUCAGACGCGAGGCCAUCUUCCAGCGAUAAAUCUUUGACAUUCAAACCAUGCGAUUCAAAUGUGUCAUGCGGUAUUAGCAGUCGUUUCCAACUGUUGUCCCCCUCUGGAAGGCAGGGUCCUCACGCGCUACUCACCAGUCCGCCACUAAGCCUAUUCCUCUCCUAUUCGUACCCGUAAAACUUCUUUACGAAGGGUUGCCGUUCCGUUCGACUUGCUAGUGUUAGUUAACGCACCGGCCGCCGAGUCGUUCGUCCGUGACG